rnacentral:rRNA from 1 species
GUAGGUGGCAAGCGUUGUCCGGAAUUAUUGGGCGUAAAGCGCGCGCAGGGCGGUCCUUUAGGUCUGAUGUGAAAGCCCACGGCUCAACCGUGGAGGGUCAUUGGAAACUGGGGGACUUGAGUACAGAAGAGGAAAGCGGAAUUCCAAGUGUAGCGGUGAAAUGCGUAGAGAUUUGGAGGAACACCAGUGGCGAAGGCGGCUUUCUGGUCUGUAACUGACGCUGAGGCGCGAAAGCGUGGGGAGCAAACAGGAUUAGAUACCCUGGUAGUCCACGCCGUAAACGAUGAGUGCUAAGUGUUAGGGGGUUUCCGCCCCUUAGUGCUGCAGCUAACGCAUUAAGCACUCCGCCUGGGGAGUACGGCCGCAAGGCUG